rnacentral:rRNA from 1 species
AUGUUUCAAAAAGCUGUUCUGACCAGACAAGUUAUGGAAAUUAGGAAGUGGCCACGAAAUCCUGUUUGUUCCUUUUGUAAUCGAGCUGAAUCUUCUCAGCAUUUGUUUUUCAGGUGCUUGGUUGCUAAGGUGAUUUGCCGAAUGGUGGGGGUCACACUUGGGACUGAGAUGUGUCCUGAUAAUUGCUGGCAAUACUAUUCCUCGUGUUAUACUUUCUGCCCUGGUGGUGAAGAGCUAUUCACUGUUGGGCUUGCUGCUGUUGUGUGGGCAACCAGGAAUGCCAGAAAUAAAGUGACCUUUGAAGGAACACUUGUUAAUACCCCGUUUGAGAUUGUGUUUUCGACCUGUACUUUUUUUAUGUCCUGGACAGGUAUUCAGAAGGAAGGGAACAAGGAUGUGCUGAAGACCGGUGCCGAGCUCCUCCGAACCAAUGGCAUCAACCAUAUGUGGAUCUGCGACGCUGUGAAGGGUGGGUGCUCUGCCGCUUGA